rnacentral:rRNA from 1 species
GGCUCAGGAUGAACGCUAGCGGCAGGCUUAACACAUGCAAGUCGAGGGGCAUCGGGAGUAGCAAUACUUGCCGGCGACCGGCGCAAGGGUGCGUAACGCGUGAGCAACAUGCCCGUAUCAGGGGGAUAAUCCAUGGAAACGUGGUCUAAUACCCCAUAGUAAUUAUGUAAGGCAUCUUAUAUAAUUUAAAGCUUUGGUGGAUACGGAUUGGCUCGCGUGACAUUAGCUAGAUGGUAAGGUAACGGCUUACCAUGGCUACGAUGUCUAGGGGUUCUGAGAGGAAGGUCCCCCACACUGGAACUGAGACACGGUCCAGACUCCUACGGGAGGCGGCAGUGAGGAAUAUUGGACAAUGGAUGGAAAUCUGAUCCAGCCAUGCCGCGUGCAGGAAAGACGGCCCUAUGGGUUGUAAACUGCUUUUGUAUGGGAGCAAUAAGGGCUACGCGUAGUCCGAUGAGAGUACCAUACGAAUAAGCACCGGCUAACUCCGUGCCAGCCGCAGC